CUCUGUUGUACCGGGUUGCCUCGGCAACGGCAGGCUGCGUCAGCAAUGGGCAUGUACCUCAGUAGGGGCUGAUUGCCUCGGUAAUGGCAGACGCCCCUCCCCAACAGAGCUGCGCUUUCAGGGAACCUCUCCACCAGUGAGAACUAAUGAUUAAACAUAUGAACUUGGAGAGAAAAAUGAGAUUCUGAAGCUUGGAAUGGAGGAAAAUGGUAGAAAAUGAUCAGACAGAGAGCCCAGGAAAAUGACAGUUUAAAGGCAGAAGUGGCAUCUCUUCUUAAAGAAAAGAUAGGAAUGAAUGGAGAGCUACCUUGCCAUGAAGAUUCACUCCCUUUUCUUUGCUCUUUUAUUUCUUGGCCUGCUGUCUUCCUCAGGAACUGAAGAUGCUUAUGAAGUCAUUAGUAUCAUGGAGUGUAAAAAUCAAACACUGUGUAAUUCUCAGAAUACAACUAGACACUGCUCGGAUAGGAAGGAGAUUGGACUAUGUGUCUUGCGUCUUGGAAAAAAUGCAAAGCGACUCACUAACCAUAAAGAAACAGCAAAUUAGGAAGACAGGAUGAUCAAUUUCCUUGUCUUAUUAAAAUAAAGUCUGCUUUCUUUUCUCUCUCCUUUUAUUCUCUAGUGACACAUUUAUUUAUUCAUGGUUUAGACAAAAGUUUAUCAAGAAACUUUUCAAGCUUAGGAUGAAUUAUAAUGAGAACCAACAUUUCUUUAGUUCCAGCAGAUGAGA
rnacentral:lncRNA from 1 species